GUUUCAAAUCCUCAUAGGUACGAUCAAAAC
rfam:Caldibacillus debilis strain B4135 NODE_28, whole genome shotgun sequence.